GAUGAACGCUGGCGGCGUGCCUAAUACAUGCAAGUCGAGCGAACGGACGAGAAGCUUGCUUCUCGGAUGUUAGCGGCGGACGGGUGAGUAACACGUGUAUAACCUACCUAUAAGACUGGGAUAACUUCGGGAAACCGUAGCUAAUACCGGAUAAUAUUUUGAACCGCAUGGUUCAAAAGUGAAAGACGGUCUUGCUGGCACGUAUAGAUGGAUCCGCGCUGCAUUAGCUAGUUGGUAAGGUAACGGCUUACCAAGGCAACGAUGCAUAGCCGACCUGAGAGAGUGAUAGGCCACCCUGGAGCUGAGACAGGCUCCAGACUCCUACGGGACGCAGCAGUCGGCAAUCUUCCGCAAUGGGCGAAAGCCUGACGGAGCAACGCCGAGUGAGUGAUGGAGAUCUUCGGAUCGUAAUACUCUGUUAUUAGGGAAGAACAUCUGUCUAAGUAACUGUGCACAUCGUGACGGUACCUAAUCAGAAAGCCCCGGCUAACUACGUG
rnacentral:rRNA from 1 species